rnacentral:rRNA from 1 species
UACAGAGGUCUCAACCGUUGUUCGGACUCAUUGGGCGUAAAGGGUGCGUAGGCGGUCGCGCAAGUCGAACGUGAAAUCCCCGGGCUCAACCCGGGAACUGCGUCCGAUACUGGAAGGCUUGAAUCCGGGAGAGGGAUGCGGAAUUCCAGGUGUAGCGGUGAAAUGCGUAGAUAUCUGGAGGAACACCGGUGGCGAAGGCGGCAUCCUGGACCGGCAUUGACGCUGAGGCGCGAAAGCCAGGGGAGCAAACGGG